GACGAACGCUGGCGGCGUGCCUAAUACAUGCAAGUAGGACGCAGUUGCGAACGGGUGAGUAACGCGUAGGUAACUACCUAUUAGAGGGGGAUAACUAUUGGAAACGAUAGCUAAUACCGCAUACUAGUAGAUGGACCUGCGUUGUAUUAGCUAGUAGGUAGGGUAAUGGCCUACCUAGGCAACGCUACAUAGCCGGCCUGUGAGGGGUAUCCGUCAAACUGGGAAUGUGAAACGGCCCAGAACCCGUCGGGCGGCAGCAGUAGGGAAUCUUCGGGAAUGGGGGGAACCCUGAACGAGCAACGCCGCGGGAGUGAAGAAGGUUUGCGGAUCGUAAAGCUCUGUUGUUAAGGAAGCGGUACUUAACCAGAAAGGGACGGUUAACUACGUGCCAGCAGCCGCGGUAAUUC
rnacentral:rRNA from 1 species